rnacentral:lncRNA from 1 species
AGAGAUCCUUGGGAAUGGUGGGUUAUGGAGAAUGGACCAGUUAUUCCAAGGAAAGAUGACGGUACUCCAAAGACUCUGCUAGAGAUGGAUUCAACUGAGACCUUCAUGGUUUCCUAUGAUUCAAGGGCUAUGAAUACUUUACUAAGCGGCAUGGUGCAGUCCGAGAUUGACAAAGUAUCAUCAUGCAAUACAGCUAAGGAAAUUUGGGACACCUUAGUGGUGAGUCAUGAA